rnacentral:rRNA from 1 species
UGGGGAAUCUUCCGCAAUGGACGAAAGUCUGACGGAGCAACGCCGCGUGUAUGAUGAAGGUCUUCGGAUUGUAAAGUACUGUCAUUGGGGAAGAACGGUUUUCUUGAAAAGAUUGAGAAGACAUGACGGUACCCAAGGAGGAAGCCCCGGCUAACUACGUGCCAGCAGCCGCGGUAAUACGUAGGGGGCAAGCGUUGUCCGGAAUUAUUGGGCGUAAAGGGCGCGUAGGCGGGCCUUUAAGUCCGGUGUGAAAGAUCAGGGCUCAACCCUGAGAGUGCAUCGGAAACUGGAGGCCUUGAGGACAGGAGAGGAAAGUGGAAUUCCACGUGUAGCGGUGAAAUGCGUAGAUAUGUGGAGGAACACCAGUGGCGAAGGCGACUUUCUGGACUGUAACUGACGCUGAGGCGCGAAAAGCGUGGGGGAGCAAACAGGAUUAGAUACCCUGGUAGUCCACGCCGUAAACGAUGAGUACUAGGUGUAGGAGGUAUCGACCCCUUCUGUGCGCAGUUAACACAAUAAGUACUCCGCCU